ACAGAGGGUGCGAGCGUUAAUCGGAAUUACUGGGCGUAAAGCGCACGUAGGCGGCUCGGUAAGUUGGAUGUGAAAUCCCCGGGCUUAACUUGGGAAUUGCAUUCAAGACUGCCUUGCUCGAGUGUGGGAGAGGGAAGCGGAAUUCCAGGUGUAGCGGUGAAAUGCGUAGAGAUCGGGAGGAACAUCAGUGGCGAAGGCGGCCAUCUGGGACAACACUGACGCUGAAGCACGAAAGCGUGGGGAGCAAACAGGA
rnacentral:rRNA from 1 species